rnacentral:rRNA from 1 species
GACGAACGCUGGCGGCGUGCUUAACACAUGCAAGUCGAACGGAAAGGCCAUGCUUUUGUGGGGUGCACGUGUGGCGAACGGGUGUGUAUAACGCGAGUAACCUGCCCUUGACUUUGGGAUAACUUUUCGAAACUCGGGCUAAUAUCGGAUAGGAGAUCCUGCUCCAUGGUGGGCGUUGGAAAGUUUCGGCGGUGUGGGAUGGAAUAGCGGCUUACCCGCUUGAUGGUGGGGUAGUGGAUUACCAAGCCUUUGAAGGGUAGCCGGCCUGAGAGGGGGGCCAGCCACCAUGGGACUGAGAGACGGACCAGACGCCAACGGGAGGCAGCAGUGGAGAGUAUUACACAAUGAGCGGGAGCCAGAUGCGGCAACGCCGCGUGCGGGAAGCCGUCCUUCGGGUUGUAAACCGCUUUCGCCUGAGACGAAGCGUGAUUGACGGUAAUUAGUAAAGAAGCACCGGCUAACUACGUG